rnacentral:lncRNA from 1 species
UAAUAUAGAUACUUAGGAUGUUAAUACCUUCCCUUAGUAUAACCAACCCCCGAACCUUAGAUCUCUUCGCAUUGUUUUUACAUUGCACAAUUAGGGUUUUAUUCGAUCUUUUCCCUUUCCCUUGGAUAAAUUAAAGUUCGAUGGUGAACAUUCAAUGUUUUGUGAUUCAAGUUAAUACAAUAGCUUGAUAUCUGAUUCUCACCGUGACAGAAAU